rnacentral:lncRNA from 1 species
UUUAAGGAUUUUGUUCUUCAUCCAAGAAGUCACAAAUCAAGAGUUAAAGGUUACCUGAGACUAAAAAUGACUUAUUUACCUAAAACCAGUGGCUCAGAAGAUGAUAAUGCAGAACAGGCUGAGGAAUUAGAGCCUGGCUGGGUUGUUUUGGACCAACCAGAUGCUGCUUGCCAUUUGCAGCAACAACAAGAACCUUCUCCUCUACCUCCAGGGUGGGAAGAGAGGCAGGAUAUCCUUGGAAGGACCUAUUAUGUAAACCAUGAAUCUAGAAGAACACAGUGGAAAAGACCAACCCCUCAGGACAACCUAACAGAAGCUGAGAAUGGCAACAUUCAACUGCAAGCACAACGUGCAUUUACCACCAGGCGGCAGAUAUCCGAGGAAACAGAAAGUGUUGACAACCGAGAGUCUUCCGAGAACUGGGAAAUUAUAAGAGAAGAUGAAGCCACCAUGUAUAGCAGCCAGGCCUUCCCAUCACCUCCACCAUCAAGUAACUUGGAUAUUCCAACUCAUCUUGCAGAAGAAUUGAAUGCCAGACUCACCAUUUUUGGAAAUUCAGCCAUGAGCCAGCCAGCAUCCAGCUCAG